UAACAGGAUUUAGAUACCCUGGUAGUCCACGCUGUAAACGAUGUCGACUUGGAGGUUGUUCCCUUGAGGAGUGGCUUCCGGAGCUAACGCGUUAAGUCGACCGCCUGGGGAGUACGGCCGCAAGGUUAAAACUCAAAUGAAUUGACGGGGGCCCGCACAAGCGGUGGAGCAUGUGGUUUAAUUCGAUGCAACGCGAAGAACCUUACCUACUCUUGACAUCCAGAGAACUUAGCAGAGAUGCUUUGGUGCCUUCGGGAACUCUGAGACAGGUGCUGCAUGGCUGUCGUCAGCUCGUGUUGUGAAAUGUUGGGUUAAGUCCCGCAACGAGCGCAACCCUUAUCCUUUGUUGCCAGCGGUUCGGCCGGGAACUCAAAGGAGACUGCCAGUGAUAAACUGGAGGAAGGUGGGGAUGACGUCAAGUCAUCAUGGCCCUUACGAGUAGGGCUACACACGUGCUACAAUGGCAUAUACAAAGAGAAGCGACCUCGCGAGAGCAAGCGGACCUCAUAAAGUAUGUCGUAGUCCGGAUCGGAGUCUGCAACUCGACUCCGUGAAGUCGGAAUCGCUAGUAAUCGUGGAUCAGAAUGCCACGGUGAAUACGUUCCCGGGCCUUGUACACACCGCCCGUCACACCAUGGGAGUGGGUUGCAAAAGAAGUAGGUAGCU
rnacentral:rRNA from 1 species